rnacentral:lncRNA from 1 species
GUCAGAAAUCCUUUCUUGCUACAAUAAAUGUCCCUCCUACGCUGGGCCUGGACCUCACGCCAUCGCACUGACAGUGCUGGAGGGCGUUCUGGAGUCUCUUCACCAGCCACUAGAUGGCCAGAAUCCUUUAACCAGAGCCCUGAGAUUGCUCCGGCCCCACAGCUCCGGUCUAGGAAAGUGAGAGUAAGGACUCAGUCUGCACCGCACUUGGGCUGCAGGCCUCCCAGGACGCCCUGGGCCUGCCAGUCAUACCUGGGCGCCAGCGUGGUUCAGGUAUUGAAAAGAAAUUUGCUUGUUGCCUUGAAUUUUGACUUACUAAAAAGCAGAAGAAUAGAUCCAGCUACUCUCACCUCACUAUCUCAACCAGACCAUAUAAAGAGAAAAUAGAAAUUCAAAAGGAGUUCCUAGAAGCAGGAGGGUUGGCAGCAGACAGAGAGAGUUCAUCUGCAGUAGACGGUCCUUACGAAAGAAUACUGGGGCUUUUUCCUCUCCUUUCUGUGGAGGAGAGAGGGAGGGAUAUCCACUACCUCCUGCGAAUCAAGCAACGAGGACUCCAGGCGGGACUCGAGGCAUGUGGAAGAGGGGCGACUGGCUUCUCACACCCUGCUGAGUGCUUGCUGAACCACAGGAAUCCAUGGGCCCACCUCAGCCGGGCCACCAGCACAAAGCAUGGUGGGAGAGAUCCUAGACGAGACUGGCUGUGUCCCUGCAGUGUGGGGACAUAUGUGAGCACAAAGAUCGGUGCCUGCUCCGCUCCAGGGGAUCCUGAAGACGUGAGUCAGUCUGGAGCAUCCCUGACACCCUCCCUGUCUCCAUCAAUGAUCAGUUUUAUUGGCCAAAAGACUCCAGGAGCAGGCUCAGCCACGUAAAAACAACUUCCUGCUGUUUUGUUCUCUGAUCCCUCAUCAUCCAGAAUAGCAAGAAGGGGAAGGAAAGGAAGAAGCUCCCCUCGUGCUGGAGGACUCCAGACCACAGGGCAGCCUGGGAAGGGGAAAACUUAGAGUGAAUGUGAGACUGAGGUUUUGACUCAGACUGGACUGGACCUUUAAAUCCCUGAGCGUGAGUGGUAUUUACCAGGACAGGACUCAUUCACGAAAUCAAAAAUCCAGAAACCGUGAGAUCAGCCUGGGAGUUCAAAUAGAGGAAAGAGAACCAACCAGAGCACUAUUGAAAGAAUCCUCUGAGAAAAAUGAUAUUGAUUCCUGCUUGUACUCAAUUUAUUUCAGCCCAUUAACAAAUCAGUCACGUGAUUAUGGAAAAUUAACCACAUGCAGAAAAGUACAGAGAAUGAAACAAAAAAACACCCAAGUAUCCUCCAUGAGCUCUAUCAUAUGGCAGCAUUUUGCCAUAUGUGCUUUAAUUCAAGACAUAUUUAAACAUCAAUGAUAAAACUGAAGUCCCAUAUUUACCUCUAAGGGUCCCUAACCCUCCAUUCCUCAGAAAUAACCACUGUCCUGAAUUUGGCAUUUAUCAUUCCAAACAUAUUUUUACACUACUACUGCAGGUGAAUGCCAGCGUCCUGUAGGAAUUGUUCUGUAACUAGCUUUCUUGGUUCACCAUUAGGUUAUUGCGAUUAUCCCGUGUUUAUACACACAAACACACACAGAGAGAGGGAGAGCACUUAGGUUCAUUCAUUUUAAUUACUAUAAAACUAAUCUCUCAGCAUAUCACAAUUUAUUCAUUUUCCUAUCCAUGGCCAUUUAGAUUGUUUCGAUUUUUCUUAUCAGAAGCAGUUCUGUGAUACACAAUUUCAAGCAUGUGUGUUAAGAGUUUCCCUGGGGGCACAGAGCUAGAAGAUAAAGGACUGGGUCACCGUCGUUAGCUAUUGCCAAAUCCACCUCCAAGAGUUGUCCUCAUUUAUGCCUAUCAACAGUGACUGAAGGCCCCUAAUGUAACUCCCAGUUUCUCUGGGAAUAAUUCCCUUAUUCUCUGAGCACCAACUAAUUGCUCCAGGCCAUGUCACUUCUAUGCAUUCUGUUUCUCAUAAAAUGGGGGGAGUUCAAACCACUUGGGGGGGGGGUCUUCCAGCCCUUCCCUCCAUGUCUACCAUGCUGGAAUUGAUUUAACUUCUGGUAACGAAGUGUCAGCUGUGGACCUCGACCCAUCUAAGUAUUUUGACAAAAUUUAUUUUAUGUUAUUAGACUUACUGAAGUCUUAUUUUGUUUUAUUGAAUUUAUUAAUUAAAUGUUAUUCUUUAAUUUAUUUAAAUAUCUCUUUUCCUUGUCCCUCUGCUGAUAAUUCAGCCAUUUGUUUAACAAAUGUUUACUCAGUGUUACUGUGUGCCAGGCCCUGCCCUGGUCACUAGGACCACCGAUGAAAAAGACGAAGUUCCCAAAGCCACCACAGGGCUUACAAUUAAGCAGGGAACUAGAUAACAGAAAGCAAUCAAAUAAAUAACAUAAUUUCAAGUGCUGAUAAAAUAAA